UGCCAGCCGCCGCGGUAAUACGGAGGGUGCGAGCGUUAAUCGGAAUUAUUGGGCGUAAAGCGCGCGUAGGUGGAUUGUUAAGUCAGAUGUGAAAGCCCCGGGCUCAACCUGGGAAUUGCAUUUGAUACUGGCAGUCUAGAGUAUGGUAGAGGGUAGUGGAAUUCCUGGUGUAGCAGUGAAAUGCGUAGAUAUCAGGAGGAACAUCAGUGGCGAAGGCGACUACCUGGACCAAUACUGACACUGAGGCGCGAAAGCGUGGGUAGCGAACGGGAUUAGAUA
rnacentral:rRNA from 1 species